GACGAACGCUGGCGGCGUGCUUAACACAUGCAAGUCGAACGGUGAUGCUCCAGCUUGCUGGAGUGGAUCAGUGGCGAACGGGUGAGUAACACGUGAGCAACCUGCCCCAGACUCUGGAAUAAGCGCUGGAAACGGCGUCUAAUACUGGAUACGAAACUGGCCCGCAUGGGCAUGGUUUGGAAAGUUUUUCGGUUUGGGAUGGGCUCGCGGCCUAUCAGCUUGUUGGUGAGGUAAUGGCUCACCAAGGCGACGACGGGUAGCCGGCCUGAGAGGGCGACCGGCCACACUGGGACUGAGACACGGCCCAGACUCCUACGGGAGGCAGCAGUGGGGAAUAUUGCACAAUGGGCGAAAGCCUGAUGCAGCGACGCCGCGUGAGGGAUGACGGCCUUCGGGUUGUAAUCCUCUUUCAGCAGGGAAGAAGCGAAAGUGACGGUACCUGCAGAAGAAGCACCGGCUACUACGUG
rnacentral:rRNA from 1 species